rnacentral:rRNA from 1 species
AAGAGCGAAGCAAUGAAGUUUUGACUUGGUAAAAAAUAUUCAGUUUUGAGCGUGCAAGCUCAAGCAAAGAG